UACGGGGGGGGCAAGCGUUGUUCGGAAUUACUGGGCGUAAAGGGCGCGUAGGCGGUCAGAUAAGUCAGCUGUGAAAACCUCGGGCUUAACCCGAGGCCUGCAGUUGAAACUGUUUGGCUGGAGUGUGGGAGAGGAGAGUGGAAUUCCCGGUGUAGCGGUGAAAUGCGUAGAUAUCGUAAGGAAGACCAGUGGCGAAGGCGGGUCUCUGGACAGUUCCUGACGCUGAGGCACGAAGGCCAGGGGAGCAAACGGG
rnacentral:rRNA from 1 species